rnacentral:rRNA from 1 species
UACGGAGGAUGCAAGCGUUAUCCGGAUUCAUUGGGUUUAAAGGGUCCGUAGGCGGUUUAAUAAGUCAGUGGUGAAAUCUGGUCGCUCAACGAUCAAACGGCCAUUGAUACUGUUAGACUUGAAUUAUUAGGAAGUAACUAGAAUAUGUAGUGUAGCGGUGAAAUGCUUAGAUAUUACAUGGAAUACCAAUUGCGAAGGCAGGUUACUACUAAUGGAUUGACGCUGAUGGACGAAAGCGUGGGGAGCGAACAGG